rnacentral:rRNA from 1 species
GGCGAACGCUGGCGGCGUGCUUAACACAUGCAAGUCGAACGCUGAAGCUUGGUGCUUGCACUGGGUGGAUGAGUGGCGAACGGGUGAGUAAUACGUGAGUAACCUGCCCUUGACUCUGGGAUAAGCCUGGGAAACUGGGUCUAAUACUGGAUACGACAUGUCACCGCAUGGUGGUGUGUGGAAAGGGUUUUACUGGUUUUGGAUGGGCUCACGGCCUAUCAGCUUGUUGGUGGGGUAAUGGCUCACCAAGGCGACGACGGGUAGCCGGCCUGAGAGGGUGACCGGCCACACUGGGACUGAGACACGGCCCAGACUCCUACGGGAGGCAGCAGUGGGGAAUAUUGCACAAUGGGCGGAAGCCUGAUGCAGCGACGCCGCGUGAGGGAUGACGGCCUUCGGGUUGUAAACCUCUUUCAGCACGGAAGAAGCGAAAGUGACGGUACGUGCAGAAGAAGCGCCGGCUAACUACGUG